AGGUACGGGCUUUGAGAGGAGUUAGCCCGGAGAUGGGUACUGAGACACGGACCCAGGCCCUAUGGGGCGCAGCAGGCGAGAAAACUUUGCAAUGUGCGAAAGCACGACAAGGUUAAUCCGAGUGGUUUAUGCUAAAGAAACCUUUUGUUAGUCCUAGAAACACUAUUGAAUAAGGGGUGGGCAAGUUCUGGUGUCAGCCGCCGCGGUAAAACCAGCACCUCAAGUGGUCAGGAUGAUUAUUGGGCCUAAAGCAUCCGUAGCUCGUUUUGUAAGUUUUCGGUUAAAUCCAUGCGUUUAACGUAUGGGCUGCCGGGAAUAUUGCAUAACUAGGAAGUGGGAGAGGUAGACGGUACUCGGUAGGAAGGGGUAAAAUCCUUUGAUCUAUUGAUGACCACCUGUGGCGAAGGCGGUGUACCAGAACACGUUCGACGGUGAGGGAUGAAAGCUGGGGGAGCAAACCGGAUUAGAUACCCGGGUAGUCCCAGCUGUAAACUAUGCAAACUCAGUGAUGCAUUGGCUUGUGGCCAAUGCAGUGCUUCAGGGAAGCCGUUAAGUUUGCCGCCUGGGAAGUACGUACGCAAGUAUGAAGCUUAAAGGAAUUGGCGGGGGAGCACCACAAGGGGUGAAGCCUGCGGUUC
rnacentral:rRNA from 1 species